UACGGAGGAUGCAAGCGUUAUCCGGAAUCAUUGGGCGUAAAGCGUCCGCAGGUGGCAGUUCAAGUCUGCUGUCAAAGACCGGGGCUUAACUUCGGAAAGGCAGUGGAAACUGAACAGCUAGAGUAUGGUAGGGGCAGAGGGAAUUCCUGGUGUAGCGGUGAAAUGCGUAGAGAUCAGGAAGAACAUCGGUGGCGAAGGCGAUCUGCUGGACCAUAACUGACACUGAGGGACGAAAGCUAGGGGAGCGAAUGGG
rnacentral:rRNA from 1 species